AACUUUGCGCAGUGGCGAUAUCGUAACCAAUGAGGUACAACCGAGGUGCGAUUAUUGCUAGUUGAAAACUAAAGAUAAAGCUUUUGCUCAUAACUUUAAUGCCUUAUUCAAUAUAAACAAAAAAAAUAUAGGGGAAAUGUCUCUAAU